GUGGGGAGGCGGGGCGCCCCGGCCGGGCACCCGGCGCUGCUUCCCGGACCCGAGGGAUCCCCGGCAGCGGCGCGCCCGGCCCGGGCCGGAGUGCCGGCGGCUUCCGCCCUCCCUAGGACGCUCCAGCCACGGAAAGAAGCAGGAAUUGUUCAAAUCUGAGGAACCGCGACUAGCCCGCCCAUCCUGUCCAGCGACCCUCUCGUCUGUCCAGACUCGACUCUCCCAUUGCACGAGGACUUUCCUGUUUACACUGACCCACUCGAAUCCACCCGACCUCUCUGUUUAGUCAGCCCCUACUCAGGCCACACCAGCCUUGCAUGUCUACAUUGACACCCCCCCCCCCCGACACACACACACAUACCACCACGGUCUACACUGACUUUCUUAGCCCCUUUACCUCUCUGUCUCCACUUGCUGUCCACACAGACCCUAAUGUCAACCCUAAUAGGAAAGAGUUUGGCUGGAGGCCCGUGGCAGCCCCCAGUGCGGGAUUUUCCAUUAUGCCAGAACAUUCCAUUUCAGCACCAGUCUUCCCUGGUAACUCUCCAGCUCUGGUUUUUAUUCCCUGACCUCUCCUUCCUCCCCUACCUCCCCCUCGUCUGGUUUUGAAUUUCAGAGGAAACAUAGCCCCUACCGCCAGCCUGAAGGAAGCCACCCUCUGAAAUGAUCCACAUGGACCCCCCACGUGUGAACAUGUAGGAAUCCACUGGGCUACGAUCUGCAGCAGCGCCGUACCCGACAGUGUAGCUGUGGGCAUCAUGGAAGUGUAGCUAAGGUUUGCACGGUCUAGGAUCGGUUAAGUUCUGGCAAUUUGAGGCACUCAUAAUGUCUUAGAGAUCAUUUUGAGUGAUCCUCAAAUGAAAGAAGGAAAAACACACUCCACGAAUCCUUCCUCAGUGGCGUCUAUAGGUACAGGUAUGAGGAUUCUCCCAGUUUCCCUGCUGGCCUUAUCAGAGGGGAGAAGCCUUGUUGUAUCCCCAUCUACACAGAAGAAGACCACCUUUGGUCUCUGUGUGAGGGUGCCAGUCCCAGAGUGUUGCGGUACCUCCAGGGUUCAAACUAGAUAGCAGCUCGCUGUGGGGGGCCGGCUUGGCUUGUCAGUAGAAUGGGAAAAGCUGUGUGAAUUAGAAUCACAGAGGGCUUGUCUACCCUCCCUCCAGCCCACCCUUCUUUCAUCCCCAGAGCCUGAAUGCAAAUAAGGAUUUCCACAGUCUGAAGCCCAGAUCUUCCUCUGCAGUGGGGCUUGGCUCUGCUGGGAGCUGUUGGGAGUUGGACAUAGCUGCCUAUGAAGGAUCUGCUCUGGCCUAGACAUGAGUUCCAUUUCAUCUGGAGCACUGUUAUCUUGCUGGUGUUUGUGAUCUCUUCUGGGUUAUGCCCUGCCCUGCUCUGUGGCAUAUGGAAUAUGUUCCAUGGUUGGCAAGGAUCUCUCGCGUGAAUGGCAGUGAGAAAGCAGAAUUUUACCUCCUCCUUCUUUGCCAAGGCGAGCAAUCUACUGAUGAAAAAGAAAAAGAAAACUGUGUUGCCCAUGCUCACCUGGGGUCUGGAAGCAGAUAAUCCCUCUGACAUAGUCUUAGAAGGUCAAUAAUAGCUGAAUGCUACAUCACAAUGCUGGCAUCCCACCUCACUUCAUCUUAUUAUGUAUCAUUUUAUUAUCUCAUAUCAAUCAUCACAAGAAGAAGGAGAGAGAGAGGAGCAGAAGGAGAGGGACCAGCAGACUCCCAGCUGAGUGUGGAGCCCGAGGUGGGCAUGGAGCCUGAAGUGAGGCUCGAUCUCAUGACCUUGAGACCACAACUUGAGCCAAAAUCAAGAGCCGGACGCUUAACCAACUGAACCACCCAGAUGAAGAAACUAUAGUCCAAACAGGGAGGGGACUUUUCCAAAGUCCCACCUGAAACGUGUGGCCGUUAAGAACCAGAACUCAGGCCUCCUGCCCUUUACUCUAGCGUCUCCCCUACAAGAUCUGGGCUUGGAGCCCAGGCACUGAUUUAUGGAUUUAAUGAGCAUUUCGGCUAUUGAGCAAUGACUAAUGCAUCAGCCAAGCACUCUUUUCCUGAACAAGGCUGGAGCCUUGGGAAGGACACCGGUAGAUUUAAGAGAUACAGAAGAAGUGACUGCUGCCCUCUGGAAGACUGAAAACCCUCCAGGGAUGAGGUUCACAUGCAAACAAUGAACUGUAGCCUCCUUAAAUGCUGGCUUGUGGUCACACUGCUCACCCCCUCUUUUCCACAUCAGUAUGGGGUGGCAUUCCUUCCAGUCCUGUUCCGUCCCACAAGGCAGGUACUGACAGAGGCCUCCCAUGGCCCCAGUACUGAGACAGGCAGGAGCUGUUUGUCCAUUUUAAUGAAAAACAUCUCCAAUAAAAGGACUCACUUUGUAGGACUGAGGAGUUCACAGGCAAAGAAAGAAGGGAAAAGGCUCAGGCAGGAAGUCUUUUAUGAUUUAUCAGUGCACAAAUACUGGAAAAAGAAAAAAACCCAGGGCUAAUAUGAAUAAUUAUGCCAGCUUUUGUAUAGCACUUUGCAGUUGACGACGUGCUUUUGAAUGCAUUAUGUUAUCUCAUCACAUCAGUGGGAGAUUGGGGAAGGGGAGAGCAGAGGGGGCUGUCACCUCUGGGAAAUCAGCAGCCUCUGUUCCUGGGAGUCCAGCCUGGCUCAGUGGGUGGGCGCUACUGCUGAAGUUAUCUUGCUGUGAACGUCCCCUCGGAAAUGACCCCCUGAGUUGCUGUUGUCCCACAGAAACUUUAGCAAGUCUCUCCAGAUUAUAAACUGGAGUCAGUUCUAGUUUCCCUGCCUGGAACCCCACUUCUCCUUGAGCCGAAUGCUUGGCUGGUGCUGGACGUCCUUCCUGGCCCCUGCAGGCUGCUCUGGGAAGGGCUGGGCUCCGUGCUUGUGCCCUCGGCUGCUGGUAGAGUCCUCCUUCAACACAGCUGGGCCCAGGCUAGGACGAAGGUGCUGCCACAGAUGGGACUUUGCCAGGUGGCACAGUCCUGAGAUUUCUGCUGCCAUGCGUGCCCAUCCGUAAUAGGUCCUUUAGACACUGUGGGUGGCGAAGGCGCUGAAAUGCUAUUGCCAAAUAGGAGCACGUGCAGGAAAAUGUCGCUGUAAAACAUUUUUCCAGAACUAGUCUCAUCUUGCUUUCCUUCUGGCGGCAGGAAAAACAGCAAUGGUAACAAAAACACAAACACUACCACCAGCACGAGCAGUCUUUAACCUUGACAACCGAAGGUAGCAUGAUUUCUUCUGGCCUGAAGGGUGCCCCUCCCCACACCCCAGUAAAUAAACCAAUUAAAGUAUAUACUCUCCUUCAGGUCUGUGACUCCCCCCUCCCCCAAUGGGCUCUUCUCCCCUUCCUCCUCCUGCCCACUUUCUUAGGAGGGUGCCCAGGCACAGGAUGUCUUCACUUCUCCAGCUUUGAUGGGCUUGCUGGUCCACCAGUUGACAUGCUUGUCCACUUGUCCUGGGGGCAGCCUCUGGCCUCACCAGCUCCACCGAUGAGGUGCCCACUGCUGGGUGGGGGAGGGGGAGGGACUUGUCUCCUGUGUUGUUGGCUCAGGCAGAGCUCGGCCAUGGAUCCUGGGGCUUGGCGGGAGGAAGCUUCUCAGUUCCUGACGCAACACUCUUUGGACCACAGGAGAUGAGGAGGGAGUGCCAUCUUGGGCCACCUGGACACAUCCGCAGCCUAAUUUACCACCUAAUUUACCACCGUGUGCCGUGCUGAACACCUUGUGCAAGAGACAGUUUUUCUGUGGGCACACUGGUUUUCCUGAGAUCAGCCCUGGGAAGUCAGGAGUAAGCUGCUGUGUGCGGGGGGAUUUCCCUUCAC